ACCGUUGGAAAAAAGCACCACAUUCAUUGACCGCCUCUCGUCUCUUCUGAGUCGCCUCGAAUUCUCUGGCUGCGACGCCGCCGCCGAUGCCGGCUGCUCAUCGUGGCUUUAGGCGCCGCCGACGUGGAAGCAAUCUCCGUGUUUAUUUAAUCGAUGAGGCGGAAUUCACGUCACCAUCGACCUCCUCACGGACUCGCCGUCUGAUUUCGUUGACGCCGAUUCUCGCUGAGCGGUGAGAGGCGCUCCAGGAUCCACUGAGCAGUCGCUGCCGUCGGAGUCUCACUUCGGUCGGUGUCAUACUCCAGCCAUCUCGGCUUCAUUGUCACUGUCAAUUUCGUCGGACUGCUGUGGACUUCGCGGCUUAGAUGAGAAGGAUCUGUUUCUCAACAUGUUCAUUCGGUUCAUAGAGGACUAUUAGAAACUGUCAGAUGACAAAGUGUCCGCAGUUAGCAAGAACUUAUGUUCACUGUUAAGUCAUGCAGAGUCUUUAGUUGCAGGAUUUUUGAAUGAAGAUGAUGUACAACUGCCGAGGUUAUUUGUAAGUCAGUUUGAGUGCCGAAUCGUUCGUUCUGCAUCGGAAAAUUAUUUAGUCCAUGAGCUUGGGAAGAGGUUGACUGCAGGAGCAACUAGCUUCCUAUAUUGGACUCCCGGCCCUGAUGAAAAAAGAGGAAUAAGCUUCAUAAAAAAGAAUUUUAAUGCCAGAAAAGGAAGGUUUCCAGCAGGUAGGACAUCCGAGCUUUUAUUGUAGUCGUCAAAUCUUGGUCUUUGCGGAUUCUGGAAAGUCUUUGUGUUUGAGUCAGAUCAUAGAGCAAUCAUGCUGCGUUUGAGGCUACUGAGAUAAUUCAACAUAUUCUAGUGUUACUCGUAGUCGAUUUGAAGUCUCUAAGCAUUUAGAUUCAUUCUUGCAAAUGCCAUCUCUUGUGCAACUAAGGUGUUUUCCGUGAUAGUUCCUAUUGCAUAAAUAGACUAGAAAGUACUUAGUCGAUCUAAAGGUCGAGGGUGGUAGGGGGCGACUGAGUUCUUAACAUAAAAGAAACGGGUGGAAAGGAUGGAAAAUUGAAGGCACAAGUCUAUUUAUUGAUUUUUGAUCUUGCUUUGCUUGAUCAUUUGCUUCGUGGUUGUUGCACCUAUAUUUUUCUGCUUAUUUAAUUCAUUCUUUGCUGCAUUUUGCAGAUUUUUAAUUAAUAUGUUAAAUAUAUUAUAUUUUUGUGAGUUAUACUGUGGCUGACGUUUUUCUUCUUUUUCUAAUCCACAGUUUGCUGUCUUGCUGCUCUAUAAAUAACACAUACAUAGUAUCCUAUUUUUCUUUAUCUCAUAUGCCUGUACAAAUAUGUGCUAUAUUAGUGUUUCUUUGGUAUAUAAACCCCCAUUGAUUGUCAAAUCUUGGCAUCUUAAUAUAUGUUUUUACAGGCUCUUUCCCAAGUACAUACUAGACACAUUUCCUUUUUACUUUGGCAUUAGGUUUGCUGAACUUGCAUCUAAAAAAUAAAUCAUGGGCCUUGGAAGCUGGUUGAGCACUCAAUAGAGUCUAUAACAAAUGUUCUUGCAUUGCUGAAAAAAUGUUUGGUAUAGAUUCAAGAGAGUUAAAUGCUCCCACCGAGGCAAGUUACCCGAAGGGCCAACUGGAACGUAAUACAAAGUGCUAGGCAGAUGUAGUCUCAGAUGCUUCAAAUUUUCGGUCAUUCAUUAUGAUAAACUUUACUCUACAAAUGUGUUCCUUUAGAGGGAAGCUCUAGCAGCAAUCUUUCUACUCCCUCAUGGAGAGUUUGUAUCUGGCUGGUGAUCGUCUAAUGUUCUAGUUUGUGAAGAGGAUGCACCAUUAGAUGUACCUCGUUCAUCUUAUGCUCAUUAGAAAACGACUUUGUUGAUUAAAGUGAUUGCAAACCUUCAUUGUUUUGUUCCUGAUGUAUACCGGGAUGAGAACGAUCUGUUUCUCAACAUGUUCAUUCGGUUCAUAGAGAAGGACACUGUCAGCAUUUUGGUAUGCGAGAAGGUACUAGGUUUCCCAGCAGGAAAGACUGUGUUUGAGGCAGAUUACAGAGCAAUCAUGCCGCAUUUGAGGCUACUGAGAUAAUUCAGCAUAUUCUAGUGUUACUCGUAUUCGAUUUGAAGGCCUCUCUAAGCAUUUAGAUUCAUUCUUGCAAAUAUUAUCUCUUGUGCUAAAUCAUGGGCCUUGGAAGAUGGUUGAGCAUUCAAUUAGUGUCAAGUAAGAUACUUUCUACAAGGGUAGUGUUUCCACUGCUGUGGCGGGAUAACCAAUCUUUCUCAUAUUUUAAUAUGAGGUUAGUAAAUAAUUUAAUUACAAUUUAUGGAAUCUAGACUACUCUGUUUUCUGUAUAUUUGAUGGCAUGAUUUUUUCCGUUGAAUUGAUCUGUUUGGGUAAGUUCCUCAACACUUUUUAUUGACUUAACAUCUCUUAUAUGCCAGUUUGGUAGUUUUAUACAUAGUCUACUAUGUUUAAGUUUGUUAUCUUUACAUGUCCGUUUGAUGAUUAUGAUUGCUGCAACAAAUUCUGGUUUACUGAGUGAACAUGAUCCCAUAUAAAUAGUGUUGUAAAAUACUGCUCAAACUAACUAUGUUAGUUGUAAUGUUGCCCUGUUCUAAAAUUUUUUUAGCUUGCCUAUAUUGUUUAUCCUUUGUGAAUACUUCUGCUUCAGGAUUCAUUAAGCAUCAACGUGUGACUCACCUUACGUGGGGUAUUGCUUUACGAGCUGUUUUAGAUGCUUUGAGGAAGCAUGCAGAUUCAGAAGUUUGUUCCCUCCUAGUUUAUCAGUUAAUGUUAUUAUUGUGAAUUUCAGUCUUACAUUGGAUUUAUGACAUUCUGAUGUUUUCGUUUGGGAGUAUGGCAAUGGAGCAGUUUGUGGACCAUCUCAUUGAGUGGCCACAGUAUACCGUCAUAUCCUGCACUUUGUAGCAUUUAUAGAUAGGGCACUCAACAGUAUUUCGGCGGCUUAUACUGAACCUGAUGUUGGCCAUACUGCCAAUACUGAUCACCGAAAUGGUCAUAUUCAAUCUUCAGCUCCACAUAUAGAGACUGCAGGCCCACCAUUUUCUUUGAUCGGACCUAGCAGCAAUUGUCUGGAUUAGCAAUUCCCUCUUCGAUCCCACUGCAACAGAGACCACCAAGUUCUCUGAGUUCACUCCUAAUUACAUGAAGCCAUCACAACACACCUACCCUUCCUAAGUCACUCGGUGGUGCUUUGCCGUCAAUACAAUUUGCCUCGUCGGAUUUCCAUGGUCUUCUAGAUCAACCUCAGCAAGUAAAUAAUCAGGUUUAACUGUGCUACUCUCUCUCACUGUGCGCUUUAUGGAUUACAUUAACAUGGGGACUGGUUUUACAACUAUGAGAAGAGAAACUCCCAGAGCUUUUGCAACUCUGUGAAGCUGAAAGUGUAUCAUACCUUGAUGAGGUGGCCAGCAACACAGCAACUCAGGAUACGGCCAAGUAGUUGGACUCUAGGUUCUUGCAUUGCUGAAAAAAGUUUGGUAUAGAUUCAAGACAGUUAAAUGCUCCCUCCGAGGCAAGUUACCGAACGGGCAACUAGAGCUUAAGACAAAGCUCUUGGCAGAUGCCGUAUCAAAUGCUUCAAAUUAUCUGUCAUUCAUCAUGAAUUGUGUUUAUAGUGGUUCUAUUUUGUGUAUUGUGUAGUGUUUUUUUGUAUGCAUGUGUAAAGUGUGUCAUUCAUCAUGAAUUGUGUUUAUAGUGUUUCUAUUUUGUGUA